UUGACAAGUUUGUAUUUGAUAGGCUACAUUUGUUUGUCUAAUCUAUCUUAAAGAAAUAGACUAUUUAUUCUCUGGAAUUGCACAUCAAAUUUCUAGCCUUUUCGGCCCUGACAUCCUUUUACUAGAACAUAAACAUGCAGCCGUUUUUGUAAAGCAGAGAUAUAUUUGCAGCCGUUGGAACCGGGAGUACUACUUUAGGGCAGACCGGAGAGACUGCCAUACAGUCCGUGAAACACGGAACUGAAAAUGGACGCUUCCAGACUAUGUGCACUGCAUACAUAGAAUGGCAGCGGCCCAGAGCUUUCCCUGACAGUGUUGGAGAAAAGAAAACAAACGCCCCAAGAAAUUCUGUAUGGAUUAGAAAUUGAUCCAACUGUCUUAUGAAAGAUGAAGCUUGAGCUUGAGACUACAUCUGCCACAGUGGUUGAUUCUGAGCCACUGGUGUUCUUCUAAUCUGAAGAUGGGAGCUAAAGCAGGAUGAUGGCCAGUGCUGCAGCUCCUAUCAGUUCCUGUUCUGAAUGAAGUCUUGAGACUGCACCUGCCUUCUCUACAUAGUAAUAAAGUACCUGUAUUUUCCUUGCAAAACCUGGACUGAACUUGUGUCUUGUGCAACUCUGUGACCCAAGCUUGAAAAUACCUGUAUAAAAAAACAGCACUUCUUAAA